GAAAGAAUACCAAUUGCGAAGGCAGCUUUCUGGAUCAUUACUGACACUGAGGAACGAAAGCAUGGGUAGCGAAGAGGAUUAGAUACCCUCGUAGUCCAUGCCGUAAACGAUGUGUGUUAGACGUUGGAAAUUUAUUUUCAGUGUCGCAGCGAAAGCGAUAAACACACCGCCUGGGGAGUACGACCGCAAGGUUAAAACUCAAAUGAAUUGACGGGGACCCGCACAAGUAGUGGAGCAUGUGGUUUAAUUCGAAGAUACGCGCAGAACCUUACCAACACUUGACAUGUUCGUCGCGACUCUAAGAGAUUAGAGUUUUCGGUUCGGCCGGACGAAACACAGGUGCUGCAUGGCUGUCGUCAGCUCGUGUCGUGAGAUGUUGGGUUAAGUCCCGCAACGAGCGCAACCCUCACUUUUAGUUGCCAUCAUUAAGUUGGGCACUCUGAAAGAACUGCCAGUGAUAAGCUGGAGGAAGGUGGGGAUGACGUCAAGUCCUCAUGGCCCUUACGUGUUGGGCUACACACGUGCUACAAUGGCAUCUACAAUAGGAAGCAAGAUGGCGACAUCAAGCAAAUCCUAAAAAGAUGCCUCAGUUCGGAUUGCACUCUGCAACUCGAGUGCAUGAAGCUGGAAUUACUAGUAAUCGCGGAUCAGCGCGCCGCGGUGAAUACGUUCCCGGGUCUUGUACACACCGCCCGUCACACCAUGGGAGUUGGUUCUACCUUAAGCAAAGUUUAAAACCUUUGACCACGGUAUAGUCAGCGACUGGGGUGAAGUCGUAACAAGGUAGCCGUAGGGGAACCUGCGGCUG
rnacentral:rRNA from 1 species